UGCGUAGGCGGAUAAAUAAGUCAGUGGUGAAAUCCUGCAGCUUAACUGUAGAACUGUCAUUGAUACUGGUUUUCUUGAAUAUAGUUGAGGUAGGCGGAAUGUGUAAUGUAGCGGUGAAAUGCUUAGAUAUUACACAGAACACCGAUUGCGAAGGCAGCUUACUAAGCUAUGAUUGACGCUGAGGUACGAAAGCGUGGGGAGCGAACAGGAUUAGAUACCCUGGUAGUCC
rnacentral:rRNA from 1 species